UUAGAAAAUUUACGAUUCUUAUGCAGUUCAGGUAAUUAUUUCCAAAUUAAUUAGUCACACACGACUGUGAAAAAUAAAUUAAUUCAAGCGAAACAGUAUCAUAUGUAUAUAAACAGUAAACACUGAUGGGAGAGCAAACAAUCAACAAAACAAUCUUAAACCAAGAUGAAGUUCACAGCAAUUUUUAUCUGCGUUGUCAUGUUCGCUACGGCAUUUGUAUCUGUGACUGGCGAAGGUCUUGCAACAACCACUUGUGCUUCAAACUUGGACUGCAGAGAUCAAUGUCAACAAGUUUGUACACCCCAAAGAGUUGAUGGCCUAUGUUCCAAAUAUAAUCCAACCGAUGUGUACGGAUCUUGCUACUGUACAAUUGUGUGAUUGUCAAAGAAGAAUAUAUAUAUAAAUAUAUAUAUACGAUAUUA